UACGUAGGUGCAAGCGUUGUCCGGAAUUAUUGGGCGUAAAGCGCGCGCAGGCGGUCCUUUAAGUCUGAUGUGAAAGCCCACGGCUCAACCGUGGAGGGUCAGUUGGAAACUGGGGGAACUUGGAGUACAGAAGAGAAGAGUGGAAUUCCACGUGUAGCGGUGAAAUGCGUAGAGAAUGUGGAGGAACACCAGUGGCGAAGGCGACG
rnacentral:rRNA from 1 species